rnacentral:rRNA from 1 species
GACGAACGCUGGCGGCGUGCCUAAUACAUGCAAGUCGAACGCAGUGGGGCCGGGUGAGUAACACGUGGGUAACCUCCCAUCAGAGGGGAUAACACUUGGAAACAGGUUCUAAACCGAUAUUGAUGGAUGUACCCGCGGUGCCUUAGCUAGUUGGUGAGGUAACGGCUCACCAAGGCCACGAUGCAUCGACGACCUGAGAGGGUGAUAGGAAACACUGGGACUGAGACACGGACCAGACUCCUACGGGAGGCAGCAGUAGGGAAGCUGCGGCAAUGGACGAAAGUCUGACCGAGCAACGCCGCGUGAGGGAAGAAGGUUUUCGGAUCGUAAAUCUCUGUUGUUAGAGAAGCGGUAUCUAACCAGAAAGCCACGGCUAACUACGUGCCAGCAGCCGCGGUAAUUC